UAAUAAGUGUUUUAUGGCACUUUUUAAAUCCAUAUCCACCUUGUGUGCAAUGUCAGUCGAUCUUCUUCAUGGAGAUCGAGCCAAACAUCAACCUUUAUCUGUUAACUCUUUGUCUUAAAAAUAUUAUGAAUAAACAAUUCAAAAUA
rnacentral:misc_RNA from 1 species